GAAAUGCGAUAAGUAAUGUGAAUUGCAGAAUUCAGUGAAUCAUCGAAUCUUUGAACGCACCUUGCGCUCCUUGGUAUUCCGAGGAGCAUGCCUGUUUGAGUGUCAUUAAAUUCUCAACUCCUCCAGCUUUUGUUAGUUGGCUUGGAGCUUGGAUUUGGACGUUUGCCAGUCAAAUGGCUCGUCUUAAAAGAGUUAGUGAAUUUAACAUUUGUCUUCUGGCGUAAUAAGUUUCGCUGGGCUGAUAGUGUGAAGUUUGCUUCUAAUCGUCCGCAAGGACAAUUCUUGAACUCUGGCCUCAAAUCAGGUAGGACUACCCGCUGAACUUAA
rnacentral:misc_RNA from 1 species